GCCCACGCGCGCCCCGGGUGAAGCCGGCGCGUGCCCAGGUGGCUGCUCCCCCCGCCGCCCGAUCCCGGCCGCGAUCCCUCCCCUCGCGAGUCAGUCGCCGCCGGAGUUCCACGGGAAUGAACCGGGCCCGUACGAGGAGGAAGAGUGCGGGCGCACCGGGACGGGGGCGCGCGGAGUGGGGAUCGGAAUAUAAAUACGGGGCGGGCAGGGGUCGAGCGCUACCAUCCAAGAGCUCGGAAUCUUCAAGGCAAGGCUGGCGGGCAGCGGCGAGGCAUCGGCUGCGGAGGGCGGAGACCGCGGCGGGUUGGGACUUGGGAGCUAGCUAGCUAGUGGAGAGCAGAGGGAGUGAGGAGGCGGGGGGCGGACGAGGAUGGCGUCGCGGAAGCAGCCGGCGGUGGCGGCGGGGAAGCAGGGGGAGGAGGGGGAGCAGGGGGAGCGGUGCCCGGUGGAGGAGGUGGCGCUGGUGGUGCCGGAGACGGACGACCCGUCGCUGCCGGUGAUGACAUUCCGGGCGUGGACGCUGGGGCUGGGCUCCUGCGUCGUCCUCAUCUUCCUCAACACCUUCUUCACGUACCGCACGCAGCCGCUCACCAUCUCGGGGAUCCUCGCCCAGAUCCUCGUGCUCCCCGCGGGGCGCUUCAUGGCCGCCGUGCUGCCCGACCGCGAGGUCAGGAUCCUCGGCGGGCGGCUCGGCAGCUUCAACCUCAACCCGGGGCCCUUCAACGUCAAGGAGCACGUCAUCAUCACCAUCUUCGCCAACUGCGGCGUCUCCUACGGCGGCGGCGACGCCUACUCCAUCGGCGCCAUCACCGUCAUGAAGGCCUACUACAAGCAGACGCUCAGCUUCGUCCUCGCCCUGCUCAUCGUCCUCACAACGCAGAUACUGGGGUACGGCUGGGCCGGCAUGCUGAGGAGGUACCUGGUCGACCCUGCCGAGAUGUGGUGGCCUUCUAACCUUGCCCAGGUCUCCCUCUUCAGGGCGCUGCACGAGAAGGAGGAGGGCGACGAGAAGUCCCGGGGCCCGUCGCGGAUGCGCUUCUUCCUCAUCGUCUUCUUCGCGAGCUUCGCCUACUACGCGCUGCCGGGGUACCUGCUGCCGAUCCUGACCUUCUUCUCGUGGGCGGGCGUGCUGGGUGUGGCCGCACAGCAUCACGGCGCAGCAGGUCGGGUCGGGGUACCACGGCCUCGGCGUCGGCGCCUUCACGCUGGACUGGGCGGGCAUCUCGGCGUACCACGGGAGCCCGCUGGUGGCGCCGUGGGCGUCCAUCGCCAACACGGCCGUCGGCUUUGUCAUGUUCAUCUACGUCAUCGUGCCGCUCUGCUACUGGCAGUUCAACACGUUCGACGCCCGCAGGUUCCCCAUCUUCUCCAACCAGCUGUUCACGGCGGCGGGGCAGAAGUACGACACCACCAAAGUGCUCACCAAGGACCUGGACCUCAACGUCGCCGCCUACGACAGCUACGGCAAGCUCUACCUCAGCCCGCUCUUCGCCAUCUCCAUCGGCUCCGGCUUCCUGCGCUUCACCGCCACCAUCGUCCACGUCCUGCUCUUCCACGGCAGUGACAUGUGGAAGCAGAGCAGGUCGGCCAUGAACGCGGCGAAGCUGGACGUGCACGCGAAGCUGAUGCAGAGGUACAAGCAGGUGCCGCAGUGGUGGUUCCUCGUGCUGCUGCUGGGCAGCGUGGUGGUGUCGCUGCUCAUGUCCUUGGUCUGGAAGGAGGAGGUGCAGCUGCCGUGGUGGGGGAUGCUCUUCGCCUUCGCGCUCGCCUUCGUCGUCACGCUCCCCAUCGGCGUCAUCCAGGCCACCACCAACCAGCAACCGGGGUACGACAUCAUCGCGCAGUUCAUGAUCGGCUACGCGCUGCCCGGCAAGCCCAUCGCCAACCUGCUCUUCAAGAUCUACGGCCGGAUCAGCACCGUGCACGCGCUCUCGUUCCUCGCCGACCUCAAGCUCGGCCACUACAUGAAGAUCCCCCCACGGUGCAUGUACACCGCCCAGCUGGUCGGCACGGUGGUCGCCGGCGUGGUGAACCUGGCGGUGGCGUGGUGGAUGCUGGACAACAUCGAGAACAUCUGCGACGUGGAGGCGCUGCACCCGGACAGCCCCUGGACGUGCCCCAAGUACCGCGUCACGUUCGACGCGUCGGUGAUCUGGGGCCUCAUCGGCCCGGGGCGGCUCUUCGGCCGGCACGGGCUGUACCGCAACCUGGUGUGGCUGUUCCUCGCCGGCGCCGUGCUCCCGGUGCCGGUGUGGCUGCUGAGCAGGGCGUUCCCGGAGAAGAAGUGGAUUGCGCUCGUCAACAUCCCCGUCAUCUCGUACGGGUUCGCCGGCAUGCCGCCGGCGACGCCCACCAACAUCGCCACCUGGCUCGUGACCGGCACCAUCUUCAACUACUUCGUCUUCCGGUACCGCAAGGGGUGGUGGCAGAAGUACAACUACGUGCUCUCGGCGGCGCUCGACGCCGGCACCGCCUUCAUGGGGGUGCUCAUCUUCUUCGCGCUGCAGAACGCGCACCACGAGCUCAAGUGGUGGGGCACGGAGGUGGAUCACUGCCCGCUCGCCUCCUGCCCCACCGCGCCGGGCAUCGCCGUCAAGGGCUGCCCGGUGUUCUAGCUGCGUUCUUUCUAAACUGACCGUAGUACGUCCGUGGUAAUCAUGUCACUAUGUCAGGGCGCGGCGUAACGCUGCACCUGCUUUUCAGAAGCAUGGAUUUCAGACGCAUCGAUUAAGCGAUGCAGCGUUUUGUCACCCGUGAAUGUAACAAUUUCUUCAUCACAAAGUUGCCAAUGACAUGAACAAGUUGCUCUAUGAACACCUGGUUUCGCGGUAUCGCAAUUCA